rnacentral:tRNA from 1 species
GUUCCAACUUUUUAUGAUUUCGGCUCAUACUACUAACAGUUAUUACUGUUUUGGAACU